UACGGUAGGGGGCAAGCGUUGUCCGGAUUUACUGGGUGUAAAGGGCGCGCAGGCGGAAUAUCAAGUCAGAGGUGAAAUCCUACAGCUUAACUGUAGAACUGCCUUUGAUACUGUUAUUCUUGAGUUCGGGAGAGAGAGACGGAAUUCCAGGUGUAGUGGUGAAAUACGUAGAUAUCUGGAAGAACACCAGUUGCGAAGGCGGUCUCUUGGUCCGAUACUGACGCUGAGGCGACGAAAGCGUGGGGAGC
rnacentral:rRNA from 1 species